rnacentral:misc_RNA from 1 species
GUGAAUCAUCGAAUUUUUGAACGCAAAUUGCGCUUCCUGGCAUCCCGGGAAGUAUGCCUGUUUGAGGGUCAGUAUUAACAAAAAAUCGGUUUGGUUGCAAAUUGUGACGUUUCCGGAGUUUGGGCUAUCUUAACUUUUUUGGUUAAGGGGCUUAAAAUUGACCUUAUCUGCGCAUUUUUAGACGUACAUAAAUUUUUUUUUUUUUUCUCUAUUUAUAGUCCAAAUCUCUUUAUAUGCGCG